CUAAGUGUUUUGUAUGUGCUAAGACGAUAAAAACUCUGCAAAAAAUCAAGACACACAAAUCGCAAAGUCAGAAUGGCAUCACCACAAGCGUCGUUUUAUACUUUCAAAAAAUGUGAUCACUGUGAAGAUUACAUUGUUAAGCCUUCGUGUGGGCAUGUAAGCCACCUUGCCGCGGUGAUCGAAAAUAUGUUUAACAAGACGAACAUUCAGUUUGAAUGUCUCGUUUGUGGAAUUACGGAUUCAGAGACGGAUCGUCUAAUAAAAGACCUUAUCGAGUAAGUUUUAAUUCGUUUGUAGUUGUCGUAAAAUGUUUUUUUCUAUAUAAUAUUACAUCACUUACGUAUAUGUAUACAGAAGUGCUAACAUGUAAGCAGUAAAUUCAUACAUGUUUCUUAUAUUUCUUUUAGAACUAUGUGUAAUGGUUUGACCUUACAAAUUGAACAAGAAUAAAUAAAAAUAUAUAUUUACAAAAGCUUAACGACUCGUGUUUCAAGUUUGUUCUUUUUAUCCGAAACAAAUAUUUUACGCCAGUCGUUACAAGUGUAUUUUAGUAUCUCAAGUCCAUUAACGGGUGGCUUGACAUCUUCAAUGCUUUUCAUAAAAUCUUUGAUCACAA